rnacentral:lncRNA from 1 species
GGGCUAGAGCAAAGAUCCCAAAUGCUACAAUCUGGUGUGGGAAUAGAAAGAUAAGAGCAAAAGGUGUAGAGAUAUACAGUAAAAGGGUAAACAAUAAACAUAUAAUCAAUAGAUUUCACAGGGCCAUUACAAGACUAGCAACCACCCAGAUUAAAGCCCAUAUUUUUUCGCAAAAUUUCUCUAGCGUUUACCUUAUUAAGGAAACAAAGCUAGAGGCAACAUUUAACGUU